UUUAAUGUAUUAGGACAUCAUAGGAAAACAGCACCGACUUAGAAUUUAAACCUAAAACUCUCCGGGUCACCGCCACUUUUUCAUAGCAGAGUUCGGAAGCCGCGAAGAACGCCACCGGCCACCGAGCAAAUAACGGCAGAGAACGAAAACAAAAUCAAGGCUGAUUGGAGUAACCAUUAGUGAUUUUCACUACUGAAUCAAGUACAAGUACCCAGAAGAUGUCAACUAAACCAGGAACAACUCCAACAUACUCCCCUUCUACCCAAAAGAAGAAACCUCAAAACGCCACUUUCAAUUCCUCUAAUGGAGUCCGUUCCGAUGGCCGUGGUUUUUACCAGUGUAGACCUGCCUACUUGAAAACUGGUGUCGUUAGUGCUGCUGCUGGUUCUGCAUGUGCUGAAUUUGGCAACACCAAGGUUAUCGUGUCUGUAUUUGGACCGAGAGAAAGUAAGAAGGCAAUGAUGUACAGUAAUGUUGGCCGACUAAAUUGCAGUGUCAGCUAUACACCUUUUGCUACCCAUGUUCGUGGACAGGUUUCUGAACACAAAGAGUUUUCUUCAGUGCUUCACAAAGCUUUGGAGGGUGCAAUAAUAUUGGAAUCCUUUCCCAAGACAACAGUUGAUGUUUUUGCGUUAGUUACGGAAUCUGGUGGAAGCGAACUUCCUGUCAUUGUAUCAUGUGCGAGUCUUGCUCUAGCUGAUGCAGGGAUCUUGAUGUAUGAUUUGGUUGCAGCAGUCUCUCUGUCUUCUCUUGGGAACAAUCUCAUCAUUGAUCCUCUUCUAGAAGAGGAACGCAAUGAAGAUGGAAGCUUGAUGCUUACCUAUAUGCCUUCUCGGUCAGAGGUUACGCAGUUGACUAUUACUGGAGAAUGGACAGCCCCCAAAAUGCACGAGGGAAUGGAGCUCUGCCUGGAUGCUAGCAGGAAGCUUGCUGAAAUCAUGAGAUUGUGCCUGAAGGAAGCGGAUUCUCUUUCAAAUGAGUAAUUUGGUCGAUUUGGUUUUCAAGAAAGGAAAAAAACACGUAAGAAACUACCGUCUUUUUCUUGAUGUUUCUGCUACCUUAUGUGAAAAUAGUAGCUAAUUUAAUGGUUUAUCCCCAAUUUUCCCCCCAGAUGUCAUGACCUACUCUACAAUUUCAUCCCAUUGUAAAUACCUUACUAUUAUUUAUUGUUUUUAUAUUGAAUCUGUAACUGCAAAAGAAUUUAAAGUAUUGAAUCUUCAACAAAGUUGGUACUCCACGGAAUGAUUGCUGUUUCUUUUGAUUGGGUGAGGUUGUGCAUAUCCGACAUCCAAACUCCUCCCAUAUGACAAUAGGAUAAUAUAAUGUUGGUGCCUGGUGGUCGGGGGAUUGACAAAGAGAUAACAGCAAAACAACUUAAGAGUGCUUGUACAUAAGAGGCCUAAAUAUCUCAUCAAGAAGCCCAACUUGACUUUGGUAUUGUUUGGGGUAACGCAGUUGGGCAUUGAUAUUUGUUGAGCAACUUUUUUAUGAAAUUAUCUAACGGUGGGCUAUUAUAAAAUCAUAUCCAAAUAAAGAUAAUGUAGCAAACUUUAGGAAACGAAUUUAAAUAUCAUAUGUAGUAAAAUGAGUUUUUGUUUUUGAAUACGGGUUUCCUUUUUACCGCUUAUAAGAUGAAUUAAAAUUUUCUUUUUUUUUUUGGUAAUAGGAGAUUGUAUUUACUUUUUAAUAAAAAAAGUAAAAAGAAAAAAAAAGCAACAUAGGAAAAACAAGAAAAACCAAAUGAAGAGGGAUAGAAGGAUUGCACGGAUGUAGUUGUGGGUGGACAUCCUUCUUUUGCGUGACUCGGAUCUCUCAAAGGUUCUCACCUUUUGGGGGUUAAAUUGGCUGCUUUCUUCUGGCACUCCCACUCAAGGAAGUAUGGACAUGGAUUGUCCGUCACCUAAACCCUGUUUUCGAGCGAGAUAUGAAAUUGUUGAUAAUGAUGAUGAAAAUAUACACUCUAACCUCAUAGCAAACAUAACAAAUUAGGCGCUGAAAACAAGUGAAAAAUAGUAAACAUCAAAACAAUGCUGCUUUGUAGUUUGUAAGUUGGAAAUUGGAAUCAUCUGUCUCUUCCUUUUUUUUCCUUGUAUCUCAUAAUCCCCCCAAAACGUGUACUUUGGUAAAUUAAGCAACA